rnacentral:lncRNA from 1 species
AUGUAAAUGAGUAAACUGUAAACUGUAAACUGUAAAGUUCCCUACACAGUAGUGCAGAACGCGACAGCAAAUACUUCAAAUGAUAUUAUAUCUUGGCCAAUGUCGACAACAAUGCUGCUCUUUGUAAAAUAAUCAUCAAUUGUUGUUUCACCAAUGUCAACGACAUUCUGGUUACUCAAGUUCCAUUGUGCUGAUGUACAACUGUGAUCACCAGACAAGAAAUUGAUUAACAAUGACUUAGUAAGAAAAAGCAUCAUGGACUGUGGAGUUUUUGAUCUGUAGAUUUUACAGACUGUUAAAGUGUACUUACCUGCAUGGCAGCAUUGUGUCUUGUUUUUUUGCCGUGUAUCAAAAGACAAUCCACAUUGAAGCUGCAUGAAAAUACUAAUUGUCGACUUGAAGAUUGAAGGCCUGAAGACUUGUUUGGAUUUAAACUUGCUUUAAAAAAAGAAAAAGAAAUAACACCUAAUUACUAAAAGGUCAAGACAACCGUGUUGACCACCAGUAAUAAACUGAAGAUGUUACAGCAUCGAGAAAUCAAACAAGUGUUGCAUAGUGUUGGUAGGAUAUUCAGGAACAGCCCAGAGUUAUUAAUAAAAUUACUGGGGCAAUUAUAGUCAAUUCUAAAGCUCAAAGGGGAGGGGGGGACAACUCUGUCAACA